rnacentral:misc_RNA from 1 species
AAAGUCGUAACAAGGUCUCCGUUGGUGAACCAGCGGAGGGAUCAUUACAGAGUUGCAAAACUCCCAACCAUUGUGAACCUACCUCACCGUUGCUUCGGCGGGUGGCCCGGCAAAAACCGGGCUGCGCCGGCCCUGCUUGCGGAGCCGGCAACCCGUCAGAAGACCGAAACCAUUAGUUAUCAUUGGCCUCUCUGAGUAACUUAUACAAUAAGUCAAAACUUUCAACAACGGAUCUCUUGGUUCUG